GAUGAACGCUGGCGGCGUGCCUAAUACAUGCAAGUCGAGCGAACAGACGAGGAGCUUGCUCCUCUGACGUUAGCGGCGGACGGGUGAGUAACACGUGGAUAACCUACCUAUAAGACUGGGAUAACUUCGGGAAACCGGAGCUAAUACCGGAUAAUAUAUUGAACCGCAUGGUUCAAUAGUGAAAGACGGUUUUGCUGUCACUUAUAGAUGGAUCCGCGCCGCAUUAGCUAGUUGGUAAGGUAACGGCUUACCAAGGCAACGAUGCGUAGCCGACCUGAGAGGGUGAUCGGCCACACUGGAACUGAGACACGGUCCAGACUCCUAAGGGACGCAGCAGUAGGGAAUCUUCCGCAAUGGGCGAAAGCCUGACGGAGCAACGCCGCGUGAGUGAUGAAGGUCUUCGGAUCGUAAAACUCUGUUAUUAGGGAAGAACAAAUGUGUAAGUAACUAUGCACGUCUUGACGGUACCUAAUCAGAAAGCCACGGCUAACUACGUG
rnacentral:rRNA from 1 species